GACGAACGCUGGCGGCGUGCUUAACACAUGCAAGUCGAACGGAAAGGCCCUGCUUGCAGGGUGCUCGAGUGGCGAACGGGUGAGUAACACGUGGGUGAUCUGCCCCUUACUUUGGGAUAAGCCUGGGAAACUGGGUCUAAUACUGGAUAGGACCAUGCUGUAGGCGGUGUGGUGGAAAGAUUAGUUUCGGUAAGGGAUGAGCUCGCGGCCUAUCAGCUUGUUGGUGGGGUAAUGGCCUACCAAGGCGUCGACGGGUAGCCGGCCGGAGAGGGUGGACGGCCACAUUGGGACUGAGAUACGGCCCAGACUCCUACGGGAGGCAGCAGUGGGGAAUAUUGCACAAUGGGGGCAAGCCUGAUGCAGCGACGCCGCGUGGGGGAUGACGGCCUUCGGGUUGUAAACUCCUUUCAGCCAUGACGAAGCCCUUGUGGUGACGGUAGUGGUAGAAGAAGCACCGGCUAACUACGUG
rnacentral:rRNA from 1 species